UUCGUAUUAGCACUUGGACCUACAGGAGGCAUGAUUUUUGCACCAUCUUAGUGCUCAUUUCGGGGAUGCGCCAGCAACCUAUUUAGGAGUCGUUCGGGUUUGUUUGGGAACUACCAGUGGGUGACAUUAGUAACUAUUAAGUCACGAACGGACAGCCGAUGAUCAAGAAAUUAUCUACGAAGAACUUCUUCAUAUACGGGCGUUAGCUCACCUAUCGAACUCUGUGAAAAGGGAAUUGGCUUCUGUUAUAGUUUUUGAGGCUCACCCAAAAGCAGGCACUGUGCUGUUUCACCAAGGCGACGAAGGUAGAUCUUGGUAUAUUAUUGUUAGGGGCUCUGUAGAUGUUGUGAUCCAUGGAAAAGGAACGGUCAACACUCUACACGAAAGCGACGAUUUUGGAAAACUAGCUUUGAUAAAUGAUGCACCAAG
rnacentral:lncRNA from 1 species